UACAGAGGGUGCAAGCGUUAAUCGGAAUCAUUGGGCGUAAAGCGCACGUAGGCGGUUCGUUAUGUCGGAUGUAAAAGCCCUUGGCUUAACCGAGGAAGUGCAUCCGAAACUGGCGAGCUAGAGUACGAAAGAGGAUCGCGGAAUUCCCGGUGUAGAGGUGAAAUUCGUAGAUAUCGGGAGGAACACCGGUGGCGAAGGCGGCGAUCUGGGUCGAUACUGACGCUGAGGUGCGAAAGCGUGGGGAGCAAACAGG
rnacentral:rRNA from 1 species